GAUGAACGCUGGCGGCGUGCCUAAUACAUGCAAGUCGAGCGAACGGACGAGAAGCUUUCUUCUCUGAUGUUAGCGGCGGACGGGUGAGUAACACGUGGAUAACCUACCUAUAAGACUGGGAUAACUUCGGGAAACCGGAGCUAAUACCGGAUGAUAUUUUGAACCGCAUGGUUCAAAAGUGAAAGACGGUCUUGCUGUCACUUAUAGAUGGAUCCGCGCUGCAUUAGCUAGUUGGUAAGGUAACGGCUUACCAAGGCAACGAUGCAUAGCCGACCUGAGAGGGUGAUCGGCCACACUGGAACUGAGGCACGGUCCAGACUCCUACGGGAGGCAGCAGUAGGGAAUCUUCCGCAAUGGGCGAAAGCCUGACGGAGCAACGCCGCGUGAGUGAUGAAGGUCUUCGGAUCGUAAAGCUCUGUUAUUAGGGAAGAACAUAUGUAUAAGUAACUGUGCACAUCUUGACGGUACCUAAUCAGAAAGCCACGGCUAACUACGUG
rnacentral:rRNA from 1 species